GGAUUAGAUACCCUGGUAGUCCACGCCGUAAACGAUGAGUGCUAGGCGUCGCGGGUAUUGACCCCUGCGGUGCCGUAGUUAACGCGUUAAGCACUCCGCCUGGGGAGUACGGCCGCAAGGUUAAAACUCAAAGGAAUUGACGGGGGCCCGCACAAGCGGUGGAGCAUGUGGUUUAAUUCGACGCAACGCGCAGAACCUUACCCAGGUUGGAAACCCCUGGAAUCUGCUAGAGAUAGUGGAGUGCCUCUUUGAGGAGCCGGGUGUCCAGGUGCUGCAUGGCUGUCGUCAGCUCGUGCCG
rnacentral:rRNA from 1 species